GGGUUGUGAGGUUAAGCGACUAAGCGUACACGGUGGAUGCCCUGGCAGUCAGAGGCGAUGAAGGACGUGCUAAUCUGCGAUAAGCGUCGGUAAGGUGAUAUGAACCGUUAUAACCGGCGAUUUCCGAAUGGGGAAACCCAGUGUGUUUCGACACACUAUCAUUAACUGAAUCCAUAGGUUAAUGAGGCGAACCGGGGGAACUGAAACAUCUAAGUACCCCGAGGAAAAGAAAUCAACCGAGAUUCCCCCAGUAGCGGCGAGCGAACGGGGAGGAGCCCAGAGCCUGAAUCAGUGUGUGUGUUAGUGGAAGCGUCUGGAAAGGCGCGCGAUACAGGGUGACAGCCCUGCAAUAUCAAAAACAGAAUACGCGAGCUCGAUGAGUAGGGCGGGACACGUGGUAUCCUGUCUGAAUAUGGAGGGAACCAUCCUCCAAGGCUAAAUACUCCUGACUGACCGAUAGUGAACCAGUACCGUGAGGGAAAGGCGAAAAGAACCCCGGCGAGGGGAGUGAAAAAGAACCUGAAACCGUGUACGUACAAGCAGUGGGAGCACGCUUCGGCGUGUGACUGCGUACCUUUUGUAUAAUGGGUCAGCGACUUAUAUUCUGUAGCAAGGUUAACCGAAUAGGGGAGCCGAAGGGAAACCGAGUCUUAACUGGGCGUUAAGUUGCAGGGUAUAGACCCGAAACCCGGUGAUCUAGCCAUGGGCAGGUUGAAGGUUGGGUAACACUAACUGGAGGACCGAACCGACUAAUGUUGAAAAAUUAGCGGAUGACUUGUGGCUGGGGGUGAAAGGCCAAUCAAACCGGGAGAUAGCUGGUUCUCCCCGAAAGCUAUUUAGGUAGCGCCUCGUGAAUUCAUCUCCGGGGGUAGAGCACUGUUUCGGCAAGGGGGUCAUCCCGACUUACCAACCCGAUGCAAACUGCGAAUACCGGAGAAUGUUAUCACGGGAGACACACGGCGGGUGCUAACGUCCGUCGUGAAGAGGGAAACAACCCAGACCGCCAGCUAAGGUCCCAAAGUCAUGGUUAAGUGGGAAACGAUGUGGGAAGGCCCAGACAGCCAGGAUGUUGGCUUAGAAGCAGCCAUCAUUUAAAGAAAGCGUAAUAGCUCACUGGUCGAGUCGGCCUGCGCGGAAGAUGUAACGGGGCUAAACCAUGCACCGAAGCUGCGGCAGCGACACUAUGUGUUGUUGGGUAGGGGAGCGUUCUGUAAGCCUGUGAAGGUGUGCUGUGAGGCAUGCUGGAGGUAUCAGAAGUGCGAAUGCUGACAUAAGUAACGAUAAAGCGGGUGAAAAGCCCGCUCGCCGGAAGACCAAGGGUUCCUGUCCAACGUUAAUCGGGGCAGGGUGAGUCGACCCCUAAGGCGAGGCCGAAAGGCGUAGUCGAUGGGAAACAGGUUAAUAUUCCUGUACUUGGUGUUACUGCGAAGGGGGGACGGAGAAGGCUAUGUUGGCCGGGCGACGGUUGUCCCGGUUUAAGCGUGUAGGCUGGUUUUCCAGGCAAAUCCGGAAAAUCAAGGCUGAGGCGUGAUGACGAGGCACUACGGUGCUGAAGCAACAAAUGCCCUGCUUCCAGGAAAAGCCUCUAAGCAUCAGGUAACAUCAAAUCGUACCCCAAACCGACACAGGUGGUCAGGUAGAGAAUACCAAGGCGCUUGAGAGAACUCGGGUGAAGGAACUAGGCAAAAUGGUGCCGUAACUUCGGGAGAAGGCACGCUGAUAUGUAGGUGAAGUCCCUCGCGGAUGGAGCUGAAAUCAGUCGAAGAUACCAGCUGGCUGCAACUGUUUAUUAAAAACACAGCACUGUGCAAACACGAAAGUGGACGUAUACGGUGUGACGCCUGCCCGGUGCCGGAAGGUUAAUUGAUGGGGUCAGCGCAAGCGAAGCUCUUGAUCGAAGCCCCGGUAAACGGCGGCCGUAACUAUAACGGUCCUAAGGUAGCGAAAUUCCUUGUCGGGUAAGUUCCGACCCGUAUCGAAUGGCGGUAAUGAUAGCCAGGCUGUCUCCACCCGAGACUCAGUGAAAUUGAACUCGCUGUGAAGAUGCAGUGUACCCGCGGCAAGACGGAAAGACCCCGUGAACCUUUACUAUAGCUUGACACUGAACAUUGAGCCUUGAUGUGUAGGAUAGGUGGGAGGCUUUGAAGUGUGGACGCCAGUCUGCAUGGAGCCGACCUUGAAAUACCACCCUUUAAUGUUUGAUGUUCUAACGUUGACCCGUAAUCCGGGUUGCGGACAGUGUCUGGUGGGUAGUUUGACUGGGGCGGUCUCCUCCUAAAGAGUAACGGAGGAGCACGAAGGUUGGCUAACUCGUCGGACAUCAGUGAUAAGGAAGUAAUGGCAUAAGUUCAGCUUUACCGCGAGCGUGACGGCGCGAGCAGGUGCGAAAGCGAGGUCAUUACAGUGAUCCGGUGGCGGAUGGAAGGGCCAUCGCUCAACGGAUAAAAGGUACUCCGGGGAUAACAGGCUGAUACCGCCCAAGAGUUCAUAUCGACGGCGGUGUUUGGCACCUCGAUGUCGGCUCAUCAUGACCGCCGGCUGAAGUGAACCGCGGUAUGGGUUGUUCGCCAUUUAAAGCGCAGCCGCGGAGCUGGUUUAGAACGUGAGAUUGUCUGAACCUGGUCUUCGCCGUGGGCGCUGGAGAACUGAGGGGGCUGUCUCUAGCAAUGAGAGGACCGGAGUGGACGCAUCACUGGUGUUCGGGUUGUCAUGCCAAUGGCACUGCCCGGUAGCUAAAUGCGGAAGAGAUAAGUGCUGAAAGCAUCUAAGCACGAAACUUGCCCCGAGAUGAGUUCUCCCUGACCCUUUAAGGGUCCUGAAGGAACGUUGAAGACGACGACGUUGAUAGGCCGGGUGUGUAAGCGCAGCGAUGCGUUGAGCUAACCGGUACUAAUGAACCGUGAGGCUUAACCUUACAACGCCGAAGCUGUU
rnacentral:rRNA from 1 species